UACGUAGGGUCCGAGCGUUGUCCGGAGUGACUGGGCGUAAAGCGCGCGCAGGCGGCCCGCGAGGUGUCCUGUGAAAGCCCCGUGCUCAACGCGGGAGGGUCAGGGCAAACCGGCGGGCUUGAGGCCGGUAGAGGUGGGUGGAACUCCUGGUGGAGUGGUGAAAUGCGUAGAGAUCCGGAAGAACACCGGUGGCGAAGGCGGCCUGCUGGGCAGUUGCUGACACUGAGGCGCGACAGCGUGGGGAGCAAACAGG
rnacentral:rRNA from 1 species